UUUCUACUGCCUCCCGUCUGAAAAUACUUGUCAUCAAAAUGGAUAAAAAGAGAUGUAUCUAAAACUAAAAUACGUCUAGAUACAUUUCCUUUUAUCCAUUUUGAUGACAAGUAUUUCCGGACGGAGGGAGUAUUUU
rfam:Triticum aestivum genome assembly, contig: Triticum_aestivum_CS42_TGACv1_scaffold_313451_4AS